ensembl:lncRNA
GAAAGGAAGGGGAAUAUGGUUUCUGAAAGAAGUGUAGUGCUGUACCAGGAAGGAACAAUGCACAUGUAAAUAAAAUAUAUGUUACUUGAAAUUGCACAAAAGUGGCUAGCCACUUGUUUUGACCAGAGGAUUGAUAUUUGAAGGAUGCUGGUAGAUAGCCCACAUUUCAAAGCAUCUUACAGACUUCUUGCCUUAACAACUGACACUGAAGUAAAGAAGAAGAUUGUGACUGAAUGCUCUUCAGCUUGAUACAAAUAUAUCUGCAAUUUCUGAGAUGUUCCUUUAAUGUGGACUGAUAUAGCUUUUGCAAGAGAAAUUUAAACCAAAUUAUGAAUAAUACUUUUCAUAGUUCAGCAAAAGUUGAAUGUUAUUUUUUUCUGAAAAAUACAAGAAUUUUUUUUAAGCUGAAGGCCAUCUUUACAGGAUAUUCAAAUCUUUAUCAGUGGCAUAGGCAGUGGGAUUGAGUAUACCCUCAGCAUGCUUGCGGAUGACAUCAAGCUGCAUGGUGAAGUUGAUACAAUGGAAGGGAUACGAGGAAUCCAAAGGGACCUGGACAUGCUUGAAAAGUGGGCCCAUGUGAACUGAAUGAGAUUAUGAAAGGCCAAGUGCAAAGUGCUGCAUUUGAGUUGGGAAAAUCUCAGAUAUGGGUAUUGACUUGGAGAAGGUCUCCUUGAGAGCAGUUCUGUCGAGAAGGACUUGGGGGUCUUGACUGAUGAAAAGCUGGACGUGAGCCUGCAGUGUGCACUUGCAAGCCCAAAAGGCCAACAGUAUCCUGGGCUGCCUCAAAAGAGGGGCAACCAGCAAGGAGAGGAAAGUGACUGUACCCCUAUUCUCUGCCUCUGUGACCCCUCUGUGGAGUACUGCAUCUAGGUCUGGGACCCUCAGUACAAGGAAGACACGGUACUGUUGUAGCAGGUCCAGAAGAGAGCCAUGAAGAUGCUCAGAGGACUGUGGCACCUCUCCUAUGAAGAAAUGCUGAGGGAGUUAGUCUUGUUCAGCCUGGAGAAAAGAAGGCUCUGAGGAAAUCUCACUGUGGCCUUCCAGUGCUUGAAGGGAGCUUAUAAGAAGGAAGAGGAAUUACUUUUUUACAUGGGUAGAUUGCUAAAAAAUGGGGAUAUUUAGGUGAGAUGUUAGGAGGAAAUUCUUUACUCAGAGAAUGUUGAGGCACAGGCUGCCCAGAGAGGUUGUGGAUGCCCCAUCCAUAGAGGCAUUCAAGACAAGGUCGAAUGGGCCCGGGGCAGUCUGAUCUAGUGAGUGGCAGCCUUGACCAUGGCAGAGGGUUGGAACUAGAUGAUCCCUAGGGUCCUUUCGAGCUCAAACCAUUCUAUGAUUCUAUGAUUCAAAUAAAAAACCUACACAGCAUUUCUCAUCUGUCAUCUCUAAUGAUAAAAAAAAAAAAAUCAAAAAACCAAAAACCUUCUGGCUGAGUUUUGACUGAACUAAUUAUCUGUAUAAUUAAACAUAUAAUGAUAUGUAAUACCUUGACUGGUGAGGAAGAUGUGAUGCUCUCCAUAAGCAGCUCUGCAGAUCCGGAAAACUGGGAGUACUCUUCAGGCUACUCUUGCACAAAUUUCAAAUUCCUAAAUGCUACACUCUAGAAACCCCAGUACAAAGGGGUCAUACUUCAUAUAUCUCAAAUAUUCUGUCAGUCUCUGUAGAAACAAUUUUGUUUUGGGUCUCCUCUAAGGUUAUUAAUCUAGAGAAGGCCUCUGUAAAGAUGAACUGCUGAGUCUGAGAGCACUUGGUGUUAUUUGACAAUAUUUCAAGCAUGGUCAUGAGGAUUAGGAUAUCCUCCCUGACGGAAACAUUAUUAGAGUGGAGUGUGGAUAAUGUAGUAAGUAUUUUGGAGUUUGAAUUGCACACGUUAAUUCAAGUGGUGUAAACUUAGAUCUGAGAAAGAGAUCUGCAACAUGAAGGGGAAAAGGUGAAUCUACAGUUCCAAUUGACUUCAAAAGAAACUAGGCUUCAUGUGCCAGCCUUGAACUAGACUCAUAAAUACAAAAUGAAGUAUGCUUAAGGAAGACAAAGUGAACCAAAAAGAUUAAAGGAUUAACACUCACAGUUGCAAAACCCACAUAGGCGUCAAAAGCCACUUGCAUUGUUCUGUCCCUGGCAAUAACAUUAGCAGAUGCUGUUAAAUGCAUAAGAAACUAAAGCAAGUACAGAUUACUCUUUCAUUCAGAGUAUCCUCUUUACUUCUGAAGACAGUGGGUCAGGGGGUUCCUGAGACAGAAACCGUAAUGAUGUGUCUUUUUGUUUUUGAAGCCAUACUUUUGGCAUUUCCAACAUUUGGUGACAGUGAACUCUGUGUGAUACUUGUGUGUGCUAUUUUAUACAAAAUAACUAUGCAGUCAUUGGAAAAAAAUGUUCUGUUUUACAUUUGGAUCUUCUCCCUGGCUGUUGCAUUGGGAGCCUUGUAGUUCUUGUGCGCUAUUAGAAAUAGUAAACAGUUUUUCUCCACUCGUGUUAUUGGCAUCUUUGAAUAUUUUAUAUAUCUACUGGAUUUCUGUCUGCCUUUUUGUUUGCUUCUUUAUUUGUUUUUCCCCUUCAUCCUGAAGAAUCCAAGAGUAUACAAUCUUAUUCCAGAUGGAGGUUUUCAGUUUUCAAACAUCUUACAGCAUGUCCAGGAGUCCUUGGAAGAAUGCUGGAAAUCAACAACUCAGACAGAACUUCGCUGCAUCACAAAGUAAAAUUGGAGGUUGAGAGAACAACAUUAAGACAAGAGAAAGCGUGAACCCAGCAAACCAGUUAUGUUCCUACCUGAAGUCAGGAAUCAAGGAGAAGAUGAUUACGUAUCACUGCCAGAGUCCCAUGUGGCGGGGGAACCCUCUGGAGAGAGGGGCAAAAUGCGUGCCCAUUGAGAAGUGAGUUCUGGAUGGACAAAACAAGAUUCGCUUCAAAAUUUGAUUCACUUCAAAGACAAAGUUAGGACCCAACCAGCUCCAGGCUCUGGACCCUUUCACAGCAUCCAUGUUCACACACAGAAGAGGACUAUACAGAAGUUUGCUCUAAGUGUUCAAGUUUUUAUUCUUCUCAGGCUUUAAUUUUUGUUUGUAAAUGAGGAUAAACAAUGCCUGGUGAUUUUCAUAAUCCAUCACAUUUUGAAGAUGAAACAUUUUGUUCUUAGAAUACAAGAGGGGGGAAUGAUCGCAGCACAGUGCAAGAAAUUUAUUAGAAUUUUUUUAAAUGCCUGAAGCUGUGAAGAAUAUUCCUUCACUACCGUGUUGCAAGAGAAAGAUUAUCUUCUUCUGUGAUCUGGAAGUGGAAAUUUGAUCUUUCAGUGUAGUCAGAGUUGCAGUGUUGCAGUCAGAGUUGAUGGUUUGUCCAUGUUCCAG